CUACUACUCCCUCCGUCCAAAAAUACUUGUCAUUGAAAUGGAUGUAUCUAGAUGUAUUUUAGUUCUAGACACAUCCAUUUUGAUGACAAGUAAUUCUGAAUGGAGGGAGUAUUAU
rnacentral:pre_miRNA from 1 species